UAUAAGUUACUUGUAUUUAACCUCCAUGCUUUGUUUCUAGUUGUUUCAAAUGAAGACUUUUGCAAACUCGUUAAGUCUAAGAAAAUGUUAUAGUGAAAAGUGUUGAAAUUCGUAUUUGUUUUUUUUCAUGAACUUCAUGUUAAUUUCACAGAGUGCAAUCAAAUUAUAAGAACACUUAAACAAUAAGGCAAGUACAUUGAUUUGUACGAUUAAUGACAAGAUUUGCAAUCAAUAUGAAAUAUGGUCAAAUGCUGAAUUUAAAACAUCUAUAAACAAACUAAUGUACUUAUUUCCCAAUUUACACUUUAAAGUAUCGGUAUUUAGCAGUAAUUAUUAAUCGGAAUAAAUAUUAUGACUCAUCAUGUAAGGAUCAAAAUACGUUGACAGAUGCUGUAACUCAUAUGUAUGUAGUCAUUGAAUAAAAAUAAUCCAACAUGAUAUUUCGGAAUAUGCAUUGCAUAUAUGAGGCAUAC
rnacentral:lncRNA from 1 species